rnacentral:lncRNA from 1 species
GGCACUGCUGCACUGGGAAGAAAAAGAAGGACAUGGAGGAAGAGGAGGAGAAGAAAGGAAGAGCAGGAAGAGGAGGAGCAGGAGCUGGAGCUGGAGCAGGAGCAGGAAGAAGAAUUAAUAGCUGGAGCUGGGUGGGAUGGGAAUUUCCAAAACUAGCUCUGCCACUGAGUGUGUCUGCUGACAGACCACAGCCAGAGCCCGAAGGAUGAAAGCACCUUGAAAAACAUCUUUUUAGAAGCUCAUUAUUGUAAACUUGAAAUACAUGGGGCACAUCCUUUCCAAGUCUUUCCCCGCUCCAGGCAAAAGAGUAGCAAGUUUGCCGCAAAGGUGUUUAAUGUGUCGUUCAUAUCAUCUUCUGGGGAGAGACGCCAUCAGUAGCUCAACCUCCAUAUCCACAGCCAGCCUUCCCAAGCCAGAAAUUGCAGCUGAUUUUAGGAAGAGGCAUUUUACACUUGAUGCAUAUAGACUUGAGCAUACGCACACAGAAAUCCGUGCACAACGUGGUGGUUGUUACCUCAGUUGGUUUGGUCUUCCAAGUCCUCCACUGAUGAGGGAAAGGAGAAGAGUGUCCUCCAUGAGAAGAGGACUUUUUAAAAUAUUGAAGAGGCAUGUUUGCUUUACAAAUUGAGGAAGAUGUGAAUUUUUCCUCUUCACAGUGAGUUAUUCCUUCUUUACAUAGAUCUUCUGCUUGCA